CAGUCGCCACGGUAAUACGUAGGGGGCGAGCGUUGUCCGAAGUUACUGGGCGUAAAGAGCGCGUAGGCUGGUCUUUAAGUGAGUGGUGAAAGGUACGGGCUCAACCCGGACACUGCCUUUCAUACUGGGGACCUUGAGUGUGGGAGAGGCGAGUGGAAUGGUCGGUGUAGCGGUGAAAUGCGUAGAUAUCGAUCGGAACACCCAUGGCGAAGGCAGCUCGCUGGCCUAACACUGACGCUGAGGCGCGAAAGCGUGGGGAGCAAACAGGAUUAGAUACCCCCGUAGUCCCUGUCUCUUAUAA
rnacentral:rRNA from 1 species